ACAAAGUUAAUUUUUUUAAUUAAGAUUAAGAGACUUAAGAGUCCGCCUUAUAGGUUUACUAAAUAACAUUCUGAACCUUUUCUUGGGAAUCAUAAAGAUCAAAAUAUAUAGAAGAUGUGACGAGCUCACUGUAACGGUUCGUUACGUUACGAAAUUAUUUUUGAACUUUUUAAUUAUUUUUAUAAUUAUUUUCUCUUGAUCUCUGAAUUAAAUUCUUUAAUUUUCUCGUAAUCAACUAUUUACGUGACGUCACACUUCGGUGUCCCGAACGUACUACACGCCACCUAGUGGUGAAUAUGACUUCGUGUUCUGAGAGAAUUUGACGUUUACCUUGACGGAGAAGCGCCUUUCGCUCGUUACUUGACUCGUGGAGCCGGAAUAGUGUAGUACCAGUACCCAAAAUGGCGGAGAAUAUCUCCAGAAAUUAAUUAAGUUUUGUCUACAGUUCCCAGUUUGACUUUAAAAUAAUAUUAUAGUACCCAGCUGUGUCUUGAACCAGGGAAAACGGCAGUCCACUAGGAGUUUAUUCCCGCCUUUUGGGGAAAUAAUAUACUUAACACAACAUGGAAAGUCAUGGACCCUCAACCACCUGAGAGGAACCUCCUAUUCCGGCUACAGUCACAGUCAACCUGGGAGCAAGCUGGAGCAUUGCAGCUCCAUUUUCUAUCUUCUACACCUGUGCUUACAGGAAGCACGGUUUGGCACUAUCCUAGUGCUCAUUUUCUGGGAACCUUUUGUUUAGUUGUUCAAGGAAUAGGUUUGUUUGGGAACAUUCAGUUUGGUGAUUUUAGUAACUAUUGCGUAUCAUAUCACAGGCAUUUAGUUGAUGCACUAUGUUUAUUUUUUUUAAGAUUUAGCUUACCUUUGUUUCGUUAUAUAACAUAUUUAUAUAUUAGUGUAGUAAGUUCCCAAACUAUUGUAUCUACGGUAAGUUACUUGUGCACAAGGAAUAAGCCCAGAAAAUUAGUUUUUUUUUUAUAUUUGUCGGUAUUUGAUUUAGUUGUACGUAGCAAACGUACUAUAACCGUUUGGUACAGGUAGUCUCAUGUGAGUUGUACCCUAUAUAUAAGUAAGAGGUAUUUUAAUUUUGUAACAUGUAACAUCAUUGUUACAUUACGGUAUAUUGUUUAAUAUUGUAACCAUAUACCUUUUGUCAUGUU
rnacentral:lncRNA from 1 species